UACGUAGGGGGCAAGCGUUGUCCGGAUUUAUUGGGCGUAAAGAGCGUGUAGGCGGCCAUGUAGGUCCGUUGUGAAAACUCGAGGCUCAACCUCGAGACGCCGAUGGAAACCAUCAGGCUAGAGUCCGGAAGAGGAGAGUGGAAUUCCUGGUGUAGCGGUGAAAUGCGCAGAUAUCAGGAAGAACACCCGUGGCUAAGGCGGCUCUCUAGUACGGUACUGACGCUGAGACGCGAAAGCGUGGGGAGCGAACAGG
rnacentral:rRNA from 1 species